rnacentral:rRNA from 1 species
GGGGGGGGGGGGGGGGGGGGCGGGGGGGGGGGGGGGGGGGGGGCGGGGGGGGGUGGGGGGGGGCGGGGGGGUUGGCGGCGGGCGGGUGGGGGACAGGUGGGGGACCGGCGCGUGAGAGCGGGGUAGGGUGCGGAAAAGUGUGGUAAGAGCGGGUAGACGGCCUUAUCGCGCGCGCGGCUCGGGACCGGCGGAGCAACCUGCCGCGUAUGGAUGGGCGUGAGGCGCAUUAGCGCGUGGGUGGGGUAACGGCCUACCAAGGCGACGAUGCGUAGCCGACCUGAGAGGGUGAGCGGCCACACUGGGACUGAGACACGGCCCAGACUCCUACGGGAGGCAGCAGUAGGGAAUCUUCCGCAAUGGACGCAAGUCUGACGGAGCAACGCCGCGUGAGUGAGGAAGGCCUUCGGGUCGUAAAGCUCUGUUGCCAGGGAAGAACGGGCAGGGGAGUAACUGCCCUUGCCAUGACGGUACCUGAGAAGAAAGCCCCGGCUAACUACGUG